rnacentral:rRNA from 1 species
GACGAACGCUGGCGGCGUGCUUAACACAUGCAAGUCGCACGGGACCCGCAAGGGUUCAGUGGCGGACGGGGUGCGUAACACGUGAGGAACAUGCCCAUCGGUGGGGGAUAGCCGGGCCCAACGGCCGGGUAAUACCGCGUACGGCUGCUCGGGGCGCAUGCCCUGAGUUGGAAAGCAGCAAUGCGCCGAUGGAGUGCCUCGCGGCCUAUCAGCUAGUUGGUGAGGUAACGGCUCACCAAGGCUACGACGGGUAGCUGGUCUAAGAGGACGACCAGUCACACUGGAACUGAGACACGGUCCAGACACCUACGGGUGGCAGCAGUCGAGAAUUUUUCGCAAUGGGGAAACCCUGACGGAGCGACGCCGCGUGAGAUGAAGGUCUUCGGAUUGUAAACUCCUGUCAUUUGAGAGUAAGGCGUU